AAUAAAAUCGACAAAUGAUAAAAGAUUUCUCGGAAAUUAAAAAAAAAAUAGAAAUUCCUAAAAUUAAAACCCCAAACAAAAACUCGUAACCUAUUCUCAUAAUAAACUCAAUUUACCAACCAAACAGAUCUUAAAAUCGAGAUUUCCCAUCGUCUACUACUGCACCACAAAUAAUAAAUUCGAUUGUCUCUCUCUCGCUGUGUGUACGGAAAUAAAAAUUGAAUCAAAUUCAAACAAAACCAAAAUCUAAUAAAUAAACUGUAAUUAAAAUAAAUUAUUUAAUAGUUUGUUGUUUUUAUUUAAGAUUUAGGUGUAUUUUUGUAUUUUAACCCCGAGCGCCGGGAAAAAUCAUCCAAAAUCAAUUUUCGUGAAAAACCAGAAAUGUCAAGUGAUUGUGUUGGUAUCGGAGGAGAAUUUUUCUAAUUUUUCUUAUAAAAGAGAGCGUGCGACACAGAGUCUGCUCUACUUCGACGGGGAAACAACAGUUUUUAUUUUGACGUUUAUCAAAAUUUCCCCUACAAAAACGCCUAUAUUUUGUUCUCUUUCUAAAAUUUUUAAAGAGAAAAAUUUUAUAUAUUUUUGUUUGUGUUUGUGUGUUUGCAGAAAAUGUCAUUGUCCUUUUUUUUACGAAAUUUUCAGCUCGUUCAAUUUUGUAAUUUGCAAGGAAUUCAGUGAGAAUUGAUUGUUUCUCCAGAGAGACAGUUAAUUUCUUUAUAAAUUGUGCGGAAAGUGUAGGUGAACUCACUCAAUCUACCCUUCGCCAAUAAUUUUCUUGUAACAACAAAGCAAAAAAAAUCAAGAGAGAAACCCGUCCUCCAGUGUUAAUAAAAUACAAAUACAAAACAAAAUAAACAAAGAAAAUUCAAUCAAACUAAAAAAAAGUCUCCAAAAUCAGGAACUUUACUCUCUCUCUCUCUUUCAGAAUUUCCCCUCCAAUUUCUUGUAACAGUUACAUUUUUUGUGCGUAUUUUCGUGUAUAUGUGUGUUCUGUAAUUUUCAUAUUUUUCGUGAGAGAAACUCGGGGAAAAUUUUCUUGUAACAGGAUCAUUCGCUCUCCGAAUCUAGAACCGAAGAAGACGCGUUUCUGUCAACUACACUACGUAAGGCCACACACGGGACACUGACCGUUAAAUUACCGGUGAACAAAAAAUACACAAAAGAAAAAAAAAUUGAUGAUUGUGUAUUGUAUUAUUUUCCUCUUUGGGCUUAAAUAAUAAAAAUUUUAGUGAAUUAAGAGCCUUUUAUUUCCCUUACUCACUCACACUCAACAACUUCGCCCGGUGCGUGUUUGACGAGCUUUAAGCGAAUUCCCAAACAAGCCUAAUUAAUUGAUUAAUCAAAUCGAUGUUUGUGCAAUUUUUCGCAAUUAAAUAAAAUCGAAAAAUCUUCCCAAUUUUUCCGUUGUUGUUUCUCUUCUCUGCCGUUUUAUCUAAUUUUUCUUAUUUUUGUGUGCAAUUAUUUUUUCUCUUCUCACGGUCGUAUAUCCUCUGAAUAAGUCUUUUGCUCCUGGUGUAUUUUAUAGUGGAAAUUUAAGUUUCUUUUUUUUCUCUAAUUUUUUGAAGAAAAGUUUGAAAUAAAAAAGUCCUAUCAGUGAUAGAAAAAUUCGAUUAGGCACUAAAGAGAAGAAGAAGAGUGUUUUUUUAAAACAAAUUGUUUGUUGAAAUUUUAUGGAAUAUUGCUGAUGGCGGCCGUUGGUGGCCCCGCUAAGCAAUCUCGGGUUUCGAUGAGCGUUUCAAUGUCAUUGGUUCAAGGUGGCGCCGCCGGUGGAGCACCUCAAGGUGCUAUAUUAGCCGCUGCAGCUCCUUACUAUCAACCGCCAGCAGUUCCAUUAGAUGUCCAACCAGAUCGUCCAAUUGGUUAUGGUGCAUUUGGUGUCGUAUGGGCCGUCACAGAUCCAAGAGAUGGACGACGAGUUGCACUCAAGAAAUUACCAAACGUUUUCCAAUCAUUGGUAUCAUCAAAAAGAGUUUUUAGAGAACUAAAAAUGCUUUGCUUUUUUAAACAUGAAAAUGUACUCUCAGCGUUGGACAUAUUACAACCACCUCAUUUGGAUUUCUUCCAGGAAAUAUAUGUGAUAACUGAACUCCUACAGUCAGAUCUGCACAAGAUCAUCGUAUCGCCACAACACCUCUUAGCCGAUCACAUAAAAGUAUUUUUGUAUCAGAUAUUGCGUGGCCUAAAAUAUCUCCAUUCAGCCCGAAUUCUACACAGAGACAUUAAGCCAGGCAAUUUGUUGGUCAAUAGCAAUUGUGUUUUGAAGAUAUGCGAUUUUGGUUUAGCACGUGUGGAAGAGCCCGACCAAUCGAAACACAUGACACAAGAAGUUGUAACACAAUAUUAUCGUGCCCCAGAAAUUCUAAUGGGAGCUCGUCAUUAUUCAGCAGCUGUUGAUGUCUGGUCGGUUGGAUGUAUAUUUGGUGAGUUAUUGGGUCGUCGUAUUUUGUUCCAGGCACAAAAUCCUGUGCAACAGCUGGAGCUUAUAACUGAGCUGUUGGGUACACCAUCGAUGGAGGAUAUGCGGCAUGCGUGCGAAGGUGCCAGAACGCAUAUGUUGCGAAGAGCUCCAAAGGCUCCAUCGUUUUCAGCAUUGUAUACAUUGAGUUCACAUGCGACACAUGAAGCUGUGCAUUUACUUUGCCAGAUGUUGGUAUUCGAUCCUGAUAAGAGAAUAUCAGUGACAGAUGCUUUGGGUCAUUCAUAUCUAGACGAAGGACGUCUGAGAUAUCAUUCGUGUAUGUGUAAAUGUUGUUUUAAUACCUCAUCCGGUAUGCGGCAAUAUACAGGAGAUUUUGAACCAUCAGCUGGACAGCCAUUCGAUGAUCUUUGGGAGAGGAAAUUAACGUCUGUGCAGCAAGUUAAAGAGGAAAUGCACAAAUUCAUAGCGGAGCAACUACAAACCGGACGUGUUCCACUUUGUAUUAAUCCUCAAAGUGCUGCAUUCAAAAGUUUUGCAAGCCAAUGAGAUAAUCUACUAGUACCACUGCUGCUGUUGAUGUUGAUGCUGAAAUAUUAAUUAUUUAUAAACAAAACAAAACAAAAAAAAUAAUAAAUAAAUACAAAAAAAAAAAUUACAUGAAUGUCUAUAGUCAACGUAAACAAAAUAUUAAUAUUCGAAUAAAAGAAAAAAUCAAUUUUAUACUGCACAAUAUUAAACAUUAUUAAAAUAUUUAAAAAAAAAUAUGAACAUAAAUGUCCUGCUGCCAUCUUUAAAUUGCAAAUUUCUACCAAUGGUUAUCAACAGUCAAGUUCAUUCUAAUUAAAAUAUAAAUGAAAGUUACUCUCUUACACGUCAAAAUUCAUCAACAUAACAAAAAAUAAAUUAUUUCAUCCACGAGCAAUGGGCAUUCAAAUUAAAAAUAGUUCCACCGUCGCCCAUCCUUCAGAACUGCCUCCAUCGCCACACCAAUGGGAAUGACGGCAAAAUGAGGCGAUAGCUGCCUAAAAUAAAUUACUUUCUGCCAAAAUAAAAUAUUAUUUUAAUAAUUCUUAACUAUAAACAUUAAAAAAAAAAAACAAAACUUAACAACAAACAACAAAUUCAUCAUUUAUUUAAGUUUUUUUUUUAUAAUAUCAAACAAAAUGAUAAAUAAUCCUAAAAAAAAACACAAAUUAAAUUACAUUGGACAACUUUAAAGAAACAAAUUUAAAAAAAAAAUUAAAUUAAAACAAAACAACAAAUAAAUCAUUCCACCAUGGUAUCGAAAGAGAAAAACAAAACUACUACUACUCACAACACACUAGUCGUCGUCGUCGCUGAAGAUAAAAAAAAUGAAGUUAAGUUAUAUAAACAAAUUAAAAAAAAAAAAAAACAAAAAA